GGAAAGCGAGGGGAGCCAGCAGCGAAGGAUGUCAAGCAAUUACAUGGAAGAAGAGGGUGACACUCUUGACAGAGGGAGACAGACAAUGGUGCUCGGGUCUUCUCCCGUGGUGCCAUAAGCAACUGAUUCACUUCUUCUCUUGGAGGGAGAGCAUCCUAACCAGCAGCGUGUCUGCCUGCUACGGAAAUUGCACUGCGGCCUGCAGGAAGGCUCCACAACAGGUCAUCAAAACUGCCCAAUGCAUCAUCAGCACCAGCCUACCCACCGUCAAGGACAAAUAUACAGAAAAGGUGCCGGAAAAGGGCCAGUAACAUCACCAAGGAUCCAACCCACCCUGCUCACAGACUGUUUGUCCCACUCCCAUCAGGGAAAAGGCUACAUAGCAUCCACACCAGGAGCAUCAGACUCAAAAUCAGUAACUUUCCCCAAUCAGAAAGACUGAUCAACACCUCCACCCACCAACCACCACUACUUUAUCAUCUCCUGAUUAUUAUUGUGUUCUUUAUUGUCUUUCGUUUGUGCUGCAUUAGAUCCAGAGUAACAAUUAUUUCAUUCUCUUUUACACUUGUGUACAGGAAAUAACAUUAAACAAUCUUGAAUCGUG